rnacentral:rRNA from 1 species
AGCCUGAUGCAGCCAUGCCGCGUGAAUGAUGAAGGCCUUAGGGUUGUAAAAUUCUUUCGCUAGGGAUGAUAAUGACAGUACCUAGUAAAGAAGCCCCGGCUAACUUCGUGCCAGCAGCCGCGGUAAUACGAAGGGGGCUAGCGUUGUUCGGAAUUACUGGGCGUAAAGCGCACGUAGGCGGACUUUUAAGUCAGAUGUGAAAUCCCGGGGCUCAACCUCGGAACUGCAUUUGAAACUGGAAGUCUAGAGACCAGGAGAGGUUAGCGGAAUACCGAGUGUAGAGGUGAAAUUCGUAGAUAUUCGGUGGAACACCAGUGGCGAAGGCGGCUAACUGGACUGGUACUGACGCUGAGGUGCGAAAGUGUGGGGAGCAAACAGGAUUAGAUACCCUGGUAGUCCACACCGUAAACGAUGACAGCUAGUUGUUGGCAGGCAUGCCUGUCGGUGACGCAGCUAACGCAUUAAGCUCUCCGCCUGG